GAGAGGCUGUUUUUGAUUAGUAGUAAAUUCGUAACAAAUAAUUCGAGUUUUGUUUAGCACGUCUUGUACCGUCGAUUUGAGAAGGUAUCCAGUUACUAUUGUACCAUUUCCAGGCCCGGCUCAAGGGGUAGGCGACAUAGGCCCACGCCUAGGGCGGCAUUUUUCCUGGAAAAUUUUUAUAGCCGGGCCUGACCAUUUCUGUUACUGGUCUCUAUAUUGUAUCUUCUGGUCACCAUUCGCUUCCACAUAAUUUAUCAUGGUGUGUUUGUGUUUACGAAAGAGUCAGUAUGUGCAGCUGUUUCCCUGGUGGGAUCUGGGACCUGCAAUCACAGAUAAAUAUACUGACUUAGAAUGUAUAUCUGUGACUGCAAUUUAGAUUUGACUCCUUGACCUUGAAGGUCUGAUCUAUGUUACAAUACAUAGGACCAAUAUCAAACUCUGGUCUACAAGGACUGCCAUUGUGAUGAAACAUCUUUGUGUAGGUGUACGUCCACUAUCGCAUUAAACUAUGACAAGAA